rnacentral:rRNA from 1 species
GGAUGUGAANUCCCCGGGCUCAACCUGGGAACUGCGUUNUGAACUGGGUGACUAGAGUGUGUCAGAGGGAGGUAGAAUUCCACGUGUAGCAGUGAAAUGCGUAGAGAUGUGGAGGAAUACCGAUGGCGAAGGCAGCCUCCUGGGAUAACACUGACGUUCAUGCCCGAAAGCGUGGGUAGCAAACAGGAUUAGAUACCCUGGUAGUCCACGCCCUAAACGAUGUCGAUUAGCUGUUGGGCAGCAUGACUGCUUAGUAGCGAAGCUAACGCGUGAAAUCGACCGCCUGGGGAGUACGGUCGCAAGAUUAAAACUCAAAGGAAUUGACGGGGACCCGCACAAGCGGUGGAUGAUGUGGAUUAAUUCGAUGCAACGCGAAGAACCUUACCUGGUCUUGACAUGUACGGAAUCCUCCAGAGACGGAGGAGUGCCUUCGGGAGCCGUAACACAGGUGCUGCAUGGCUGUCGUCAGCUCGUGUCGUGAGAUGUUGGGUUAAGUCCCGCAACGAGCGCAACCCUUGUCAUUAGUUGCCAUCAUUAAGUUGGGCACUCUAAUGAGACUGCCGGUGACAAGCCGGAGGAAGGUGGGGAUGACGUCAAGUCCUCAUGGCCCUUAUGACCAGGGCUUCACACGUCAUACAAUGGUCGGUACAGAGGGUAGCCAAGCCGCGAGGCGGAGCCAAUCUCACAAAACCGAUCGUAGUCCGGAUUGCACUCUGCAACUCGAGUGCAUGAAGUCGGAAUCGCUAGUAAUCGCAGGUCAGCAUACUGCGGUGAAUACGUUCCCGGGUCUUGUAC